CAUUAGUCGUACUAUUAAGAAAAUUUAAUUGUAAUUUGUAUCAAAAUUUAUAUUUGUAUUUUAUAACUAAGAACUGUUUGUUUAUCUAAUUUAGUAGGUAAAAUAAUUUAUGUAUGCGUCUGAAAGACUUGUAUCCAUGGACGAAAUAAAUAAAAAAAAAAUGCUCCGAGACCGGAGACGUCACGUUACGAAUGAUGGAGAAAAGUUGUCAAAUAUAUAUCGAUAUAUCAAUGCAAAGAGAAAUAUAAUGUAUCAAUGUUUUUGGACAAUGUAUUUCAAUUAUUGUGGCGAAGCUAAAUUAAAUUAUGCUGAUUAUAUUUAGUACAUAACUAUAUAAAAUUAAUUGAUGAUGUCAGUAGGUACGCAUAAGACAGUAUUGUAAAUAAUUAAAGGGAAUUUUAGAAUACUAAUUUGUAAUGAAAGAUUCGUAAUGUCCAUCCCCAUAGGACACAACAGCAUUCGGAUUUCGACAAGACGUUUUGUAAGAUUGUUGAUGUUUGAGACACCUUCGCCCCUUAAAUUUGCCCAUGCACUCAACUACGGAUUGCCUACUGGAAUUUGCGAUAUGUUUUUGAAAAACGUUGUUCAAGGUAUCAAUCAGAAUUCGCAAUUUAUAUAAUUUUUCAAGAUUGGCCGAAGUUCUUGGUGGUUCCUCUGCGUUAUUCCGUAAAUCAGUUGCGGUUGUAACUGGAAGGGUCAAGAAUAAAAAGCAUGCUGUGAUUACCUCGGGAAAACUAGAUGCAAGACUAUUGAAUUUUACUAGCAAUAAUUCAAUGAGUUCUUUCAUGGAAUAAAUUUUUUGAAUUUCAGAUUUUAAGCAUGUUUUUAGAGCCUUUAAUUGGUCACAAAGAUUAACUGAGA